UAUCAAUAAAAGAGAUUGUCCAGGUGGUC
rnacentral:piRNA from 1 species